UUUCAUUUUCCCAAUAGCCGUGAAAUAGGGGCUUUUGCUUUAACACCACAGCACCCCCUGCUCCAACCCCCCACUCCCAGAAAUGCGAGACAAAUGUUCGCAGGUGAGAGUUCUCUGAGACCUUGAGAGGAACUGAGAGCUGAGGACUGGAAGCAACUGUUUCUAUUGUUAUUUCUAUGAGUCAAUACUGUCUAAAAUGUCUAAAGUGGUUUAGCA